GCCGCAGUCGCAUAAUCUGGUAGUGCACCGGUCUCGAAAACCGGCUUCCGUGAGGAUUUCUCGGUUCAAAUCCGAGCUGCGGCG
rnacentral:tRNA from 1 species